UCUCACAACACAACACACACACUUCUCAAAAUGCUCUCUUUCUCUCCCUCUCUCUUUUUUCGGCUCUAGCAGAAAAAUGGGUGAAAAACCCUCAAAUCUCAUUAACAAAACAUAAAAAUAACAUGUAUGGGUCAUAAACUAGAUAAGGGUUAAAGGUAGAUCAAGGAUGGAGCUCUUGGGAGGCCUUGGAGUCUCGAAAUCAGCCCUCCAAGGUGGCUGAUCGGCAGCAGCAAAAACGGGCAGCAAACAGCCCCUAUCUCCUCACUUUCUUUUGAUUUUUGAUCAUCAAAGGCUUGUUACAACCAAUAAACAACUCCUGGGCAGCCAUCAAGAACAAGACUCAACAAUACUCUUGAUCUUCUUGUUUGGAUCUUCAAAGGGAUAGGCUUGGCUUUGAUAUACGAAUGAGGAGCAUAAGAAAUAUAUGAUCAAGGAAGCUAUAGAUGAGAAGUACCCAUUUUGGAUAUAUGAAUAUAAUGCGUGGC